UACGUAGGCAGCAAGCGUUGUUCGGAGUUACUGGGCGUAAAGGGCGUGUAGGCGGCCUUAUAAGUCAGAUGUGAAAGCCCCGAGCUUAACUUGGGAAUUGCAUUUGAGACUGUAGGGCCAGAGUGCGAGAGAGGAAAGUGGAAUUACGAGUGUAGAGGUGAAAUUCGUAGAUAUUCGUAAGAACACCAGUGGCGAAGGCGACUUUCUGGCUCGCAACUGACGCUAAGGCGCGAAAGCGUGGGGAGCAAACAGG
rnacentral:rRNA from 1 species